AGGUGAAAUUAAAUAGUAACGAAUUAGAAGUGAAAUAUAUCAAACGAUUUUUUUUUUUGUAUAAUUCAAAAAGUGAAAAUGAUAUAUAUAUUUCAAAUUAUAAAUGGACAAGUAAAAAAUCAUUAUUAAAAAAUAUGCAAGGCGUACAUAAAUUCGUAAUAAUAGUGCAAAUGUCUUAAUCAUAGACCGCAUCACUUCGAGGUUUUUUUUUUUUAAACUGUGUUUAUCUUAAUCAAUUCUGUUCCAGUACUACUAGUUAGAAUACUCUGUUCUGAUAGUAAAUCAAAACAAUAAGUUUAAUAAAUUUUAAGUUUUAUUUUGGUGUAAAUUUAGGUUGGUAUCGAUCGUGUUAGAUGAAUCGAUUUAUUUCACCUAUACUAGUUAGAACAUGGUGUAUCACUUAAUACAAAAAAAAAAUAAUUUUAAAAUAUAGAUUUAAUUUUAAUUUUUUAUAAUUUAUUUUGAAUUUAUUAAAUUAUGGGUUUUUAUAGACAUGGUAUGAGAUUGUUUUAUUAUUUAAUUUAUGCAAUAUUUUUUUGUUGCUUAUUUUUUUUAGUUUGUUUAAUGAUGGAUUGUAUUUGUGAAGCU
rnacentral:lncRNA from 1 species